rnacentral:tRNA from 6 species
ACUCUUUUAGUAUAAAAAGUAUAUUUAACUUCCAAUUAAAAGGUUUAUUUAAUAAAAAGAGUA